AUCCAGCUGACGAGUACCAACUAGAACGGAACGCACGUUUUGGAU
rnacentral:hammerhead_ribozyme from 1 species